ensembl:misc_RNA 7SK 7SK RNA
GGCUGUGAGGGCCAUCUGGCUGUGACAUCUAUCACCCCACUGAUCACCAGGGUUGAUUCAGCUGAUCUGUCUGGCUCAGCGGGUGUCCCCUUCCUCCCUCACCUCUCUGUGUGUGUCCCUCCCUAAGCUGCUUGAUCCUUUGGUCAAAGAGGAAAUUCUUUCCUGAAUAGAGAUGGACUGGUCUUCAGUCCAGGAUAGGAGUAGCUGCUCUCCCCUGCUAGAACCUCCAAACAAGCUCUCAAGAAGCAGAUACAGCAGUUAAUAGGCUUUGCCUACCUGAGGCUCCAAGUCAGAUC